rnacentral:lncRNA from 12 species
UGAGUCUCUGCCCGGACUGCGGGCGAGGAGCACGAGCAGAGCAGCGGGGAUGUGCCGAGGCGCGCAUGCGCGCCGCCGGGCAGGUGCCCGGCCUCGUGGCGCAGGGCCGGCCUCGCUGCGCGCCCCACGGCCAGCUGCCUGCCGCCCGCCCGGCGCCGGGCCAGCCCCAGCCGAGCGCUCCUCUGCCUGCCGAGCCCCUGCUUCCCCACAGAAAAUACACUGACUUCCUGCAAGAGCCCUCCAGAAGCAAACUGGGAAUGAGGGAGUUCACAUGCCCAGGGAAGACUUCUCUGAUCUCUCAGUUCCUGGAAUCAAGCAGAAUGUUGUCUGCAGCAAUUUCAAUUGUAUUUCUCACUCCACAGCUUCAGAAGAAGGAUUCAUUGCUUGGUCAUUGCAAUAGAAACAGAUGA